CACUGAUGUUGAUGAUAAAUACUGCUGUCAUCUCAACCAGAUCACAUUCACUGCUUCAUCAUGGACUUCGAUCUGUGCUCAGGUAAAUGAUAUUCCAGUAAACACACACUGGUUGAUUUCUAAGAGAAACUAACAGUUUUAUUCCUGUUUUGGAGCAGCUGUUGGAGAUGAUGAGGUGAAGAAGCAGGAGGGCAACGAGGUGGAGGGCAUCUUUGGGUUUGGAAAAAAAGAUAAAGACAAAGAAGAAAAAGAUAAAGAGUGUAAGGACAAAGACAAAGGUAGUGACAAGCCAAAGAGUGAUUGCAAAGAAGAGGAUAAAGACAAGGACGAGUGCAAAGACAAAGAGAAGGACAAGUGCAAAGACAAAGAGAAGGACAAGUGCAAAGACAAAGAGAAGGACAAGUGCAAAGACAAAGAGAAGGACAAGUGCAAAGACAAAGAGAAGGACAAGUGCAAAGACAAAGAGAAGGACAAGUGCAAAGACAAAGAGAAGGACAAGUGCAAAGACAAAGAGAAGGACAAGUGCAAAGACAAAGAGAAGGACAAGUGCAAAGACAAGGAAAAGAAGAAGGAUAAAGAGCACAAAAAGGGGCACGGUCAUGGACACGGACAUGGUCAUGGUCGGGGACGUGGACGCGGACACGGACACAGGUCAUCCUCUUCAUCCAGUGAUGAGGUACCUUUACUAUGGUUUUAUAAACACUUAAUUAAAACAAGCCCAAAUUAAUUUGGUUUUGUGAGACACAGAAGGAGAUCUUAAGCAUAUCGACUUCUUUUAUGGUGAUUUUUGGUUGUUUUUUGGUGCAGUUUGGUACCAUUCGUUUGUCUAUGAGCAGACAAAGUUUGAGUUAAGAACAGGUUACUAACAUUUUAAUUAAAUGUUUUAACUGAGGUUGUAAAAAUGGCGUGAUAAUGGCAUCUCAUAAUAACGGCUGAUCUUGAGGUGUGGUGCGCACUUACAGUCGUAAAGAUCUAGGGCACAUGCUCCAUUCGUCAGUUUUGCUUAACUACAGUUCAAAACAAAAGACUCAAAUGAAUCGUUCUGAUGAUCUGAUUGGAGGAGCCACAUUUGAUGCUAAUCUACUUAAACUUUCUACCUCACUGACUUUCACCUUGUUUCAUGUUCUUCAUUCUUACAUGUAAGUAAUAUACUGUAAAACAAACCUGGCCAGUUUAAACGUGUCAAACUUCGUUAAAAACACCUGGAUGAAGUCGAGUGCUUUCAUAGACUGACUUUCAGAGUCUGCUGGAUGGGUCCGCCCCUGUAAUGCAGACAAACCGGUUUACUUGUUGAAGAGAGGACAAAAAAAAACACAAAAGAUUUUCCAGAAACCAAAUGCAUGAGAUUCGACCAAAAAUGUAUAAUCUGUGUUUUUCAAAUCAUUUAUGUAGAGUUACAAGCACUUGAACUGUCACAUUUGUUUUUGUUUUUCAUAGAAAACCGGAAGUUAACAUUAUUCUCUCUUUGUUUGCAGGACUAAAGCUGAAGACAUAAGAGGGCCGGGGCAAGUUGUCACACAGGGAAAAUGUCCUAAGGGAUUUAUUUUUAUAGCAACUGUGAGGUUUUGAGUCAAAAAAUCCAAUUGCACAAAUGCUUGUUUUCUAGCAGUGGUUUUAUAUGUUGUUUCAAACACCUAGUUGCAACAUUUGUAUUAAAUUAGGAUAAUAUUUUUGGAAUUGUGUCCUACAAACUAAAAUUUCAGUACUAUUAUCUUUUUAUAAAUUGGUCUGAGCUGUUACAUGAGUUUUGUGAUGUACUGCAUAUAAAGUAUCUAUGAAAAUCUCCUGUUAUUUUUUGUAACAUUUAAAUUUUUUUGCUGUUUGUUUUACUGUUAAAGACAUUAUAUAGCCUCUAAUACAUAAUAAUAAUGUUAAUAAUGUUUGUUUUCUCAAAACAAUUCCCAUUCUUAUGAUUUAUCCCAUAUAUAGUGACAACAUGGCCCACUAAACAUAAGUCAACAUAAUGAACUGUAGCCUAUAUUUAUACUGGAUAAUAAUGAUAGAUAUGUCCAAUAGUUGUUUCAGGGUGGUGACUAUUGAAAAAGUGACAUAAGUGACUUUUCAAAAUAAACUUAAUGUGAGAAAUUAAUUGGUAUAAAAAGUUGUCCUAGACUCCUUUAUUUACAC
ensembl:lncRNA splicing regulatory glutamine/lysine-rich protein 1-like